ensembl:lncRNA
ACAGGUCUGAUAAUGUGGGGGCAUAAUGGCUGAGCUGUUCUUUGAGCUCGUCCAAUCAGUGGGCGCUGCUGGCCGCCACGGCCGCUGCAUGUGGAAACAGAUAUCCACAGGCGCAGCGAGUGGAACCGCGCCACUGCCUGUCAUUAGCGGGAGGGCAGAAAGAAAGUGGAAAUAUACGUGACCCGGGAUUAGGAUUCGGAAAAAAAAACAACACAAAACAACAGAGGACACGAGUAAUACCGCAAGGAACCCGUCCUACUUUCUAUUGCAUCACAGGAGGCGAUUAAUAGGCGCUGUCUAUGCAGGACGACCUCCCUGGCUUAAACCCCCGGGCUUAAAGUUCGGAUUUGGAAAAAAGCAGGCGAACAUUGAAAAAGAAAAAGAAAAGAGAAACGUAUCAAUCUGCAAAAUCCAUAAUGCGAUAAACAAACGCGUUCCGCCGUUUUCUUUAUGAAACGUGGUCCGAGCGUGUUCUCUGGAACAGCCCCAGCCGAAGGAGUUAAAGUGUUGUUCAACACGAGGCCAGCGGGGUGAUACACAGGCAGGCCUGCUAUGACGUCAUUGCCGGCAUCCAGGCAGCUGUGGGAAAGCAGAGACUCCACCCCCUCUCCUUCCUGUUCCCGCCCCGGCUCCGUUGCUAUUGGUCGUUGGGGACAAGCCUGCGGUUCUGUGGGAUCCUCCCGUGUCAAAAGACAAGUUUUACCAGCGUCUCACUUGCCAAAACCCCUCAAUUUGUCACUUCCCCGAGUCAGAUAGUGUGUUCUGGCGCAUGCAAGGUGCUAGGGAAGGUAGAGCAGGUGGAAAAGGCAGGGAGAGAGAGAGAGAGACCAGGAGAGAGACAUGGGGUGAAAGAAAGGGAGGGAAACAAGGAAGGAGAGAACGGGAGAGAGAGAGAGAGAGAGAGAGAGAGAGAGAGAGAGAGAGAGAGAGAGAGAGAGAGAGAGAGAGAGAGGGAAAGCUAGAGAGAGAGAGAGAGGGAAAGCUAGAGAGAGCGAGAAAGAGACUGGGAGAGACCAGAAUGAAGAGAGCCUGAGAGAGAGGGAGAGAGAGCGAGAGAGAGACCCUAGAGAUGGAGGACCUGUGGUCGGUGGCUUGCGGUGUCUCACAGGUGUGAAGAGUACCAAACCACCGAACUGACAGAGACAGAAACCAACACAGAACUAAAUCUACUGUUUAGAACGAGGUCAAAGCAGAACGCAGAGGCAAAAUAUAUAAGAUCAACACACCAAAAGGAAGAAGACUGAGAAAGAUAGCUCUACUCUGCAUGCUGGUCAUAGUUGGAGACAUAAGAGGCGGGAGGAAUCUGAACUCAAGCACCCCUUCAGGUGCAUCAGUCACCCGGCAUCAGAGCACG